UCGUCGGUCGGGUUCCCCGACUGACAUCCUCGUGGAGAGGUUCUGGCCAUGAUGCUAGAACCGAGGUCGGAGGAUGAAGAAGAAGAAGAAGAGAGGAGGUCCAAAGGAAGCGAAGGAAGCAAAAGAUGCAAGGAGGCAAAAAUCUCGAGAAAAAGCUUCCCGAGGAAGGAGACAAGCACAACUACCUGGAACUUGGAACUGGGGGACCACUCGACCAGAGUCUCGGCAACAGGGCUAUGAAAAGUGGAGUUUUGGAUACAGGUGACCCUAUAUAUAGUACCCCUCGACGGUCGGGAUGAGAGCACGCCCAACGAGGGUCUCCUAGAUUUUGACACGUGGCAGCAUCUGGACCUUCCCUCGGUUCGACGAUUCGACGCACCUGCUCCAGAUCAAGCCACGUCGCCUCCAUCCGUCUGAACGGAUUCGGCCCAAUGGCCCCCUACCAUGUGGCGAAAAAAUCGCAUCUUAGGAUUCACUAACCGACGGCGGUCUGCGUUCCCGAGGAGACGGCGGAAACGGCGGAUCCUGUUCCCAAUGGGACGUCUGACACCAAUGGGACGUCUAACACCAAUGGGACGUCUAACACCAAUGGGACGUCUGACACCAAUGGAACGGCUGACGUCGGAUCGUUCAUUGGUACGGUCGUCAGAGUCGAAGCAUGAUGUGAUGGAUAUCCACUCCUUUCGUUCGAAGCCGUCGCCCACGUGGAAACGCUGGCCAGCACGACAUCCGACUCAGGAGUGGGGGGGGCAACUGUUGGGAUAUACUGACCGACCCCUUUUAUGCCGACUCACCUUCGGGUCUGUCCGACCAGCGUCCGACUCUACCGACCGCACCGACCGACGACUGUCAACAAUAGCCACCGACAUUAUCCGACCGAAGGUGUGUCGAUCGGACAGAUCCAUUCCGUUCCCGACUAGCCGAGCGGCGGAGCCCAGAUUACCGACUCACUGUCGGACGGGGGUGGCAGCCGACGUCCGACUCCCGCAAUGCGCCAAACCAGCCGACGGUGUCUCCGGGUCUUCACCUGACGUUCCGCGGCUAAAUACCGACGUAUGGUCGGUCGGCUCUUUCAAACGCCGUAUGAUCACUAUGGGCUGCUGUCCUGACAAGGACAUGCGGCGUGGCCGCCCUGAGGACAUCGUCCUGCCAAGGACAUAGGUCAACCCCAGUGAUUUGAUAGCCCAUGGCGACUUGUCAGUCCGCGGCGACUCUGACAGCCUCCGGCGAUUUGACAACUCCCCAGUUGUCUGCGCCAUUAAUGGCAGGAUCAUGCCGCGCCCUACUAUAAAACAGGGAAGGCAACAAUGUUGAAGAGAGGUUUUUUCUAAGCUCCUGAGCUCUCUCUCUCUCUCCCUAGCUCUCUCCCACUGAGCCCCUGAUUCUUUUCUACUGUUGCCUAAUCUCCUCUCUGACUUGACCGUCGGAGGAUCCCCGCCGGAGGCAUCUCCGGUCAGUGUGGACUUCUCUUGCAGGUGCUCGUUCCCGACGACCAAGCAACGAGGGGAUUGACCGCAACAACUACAUAGUUGAGGCCCAGGGUCCGAUCCCAAAUUACCUUCAUUUUCAAGAGAUCAUUAGGCAUAUGAGGGCACGGGUAUAGGUUAGCCUUGGAGCCUAGAAAUGACAAUUUGGGAUUGUUGGAGCUCCUUGCACAAUGUGGAACAAAGAGCAGCUCAGGAACAACGAGCAAUGUUGCCUGCAUCAUGAUGCUGAGACAUCACAUGUCAGAGGAAAUGCACCGAUUUUCCAUGUGAAAACAUAAACAAGCCUACAUAGUGAAGAAUUGUAUGACAGACAUUGACCCAGUGAGGGAAAAGGAAGAAAAAGUGAAGGAACCAAACUAAUUAUAUGCGAGAAGAAUACCUAGAUGCUCAGUUCUUUAUUAUGGAUUUGGUUGGAAGUUGAAGAACAAGUCACGGAGAGGCAAACCACCCAAAGAUUCUACUGAUAGGACCAUUUCAGAAGUUGCCAAUUUGAGGCGCAGAGUUUGGUCCCACUCAUUUUGCUAAAAAAAAGGUCAAUAUCCAGCAAUGAACAUGUGUAUCGCUAAGCUUUUUGUAUAUAUGUAGAAGAGGAAAAGUCGGUCCUUUUCUAGUUCUAAUGUAAAUUUUAUUAGUU